AACAUUCUAGGUUAUGAAUAAGCCGCCCUGUCAACGACGGGGCGACUGGACAUCAUACAGUUCAGGUUUUGUUUUGUUUCCAUAGAGUGUUUC
rnacentral:tRNA from 1 species